AAGUGAAUGAAAAUGUUAACGAUCGGUGUUUACAGGAGGAGUUUUAGGAUCGUUAAGGACCCUGUGCGUGUCACCUUCUCAUUGGAUGAGGGGAAAAUAAGUUUUUUUUUUUGUUUUUUUUUGUUACUCUCGCUCUUUUCCCGACUCUCUCUAUUUGGCUAGUGUCGAGGGAAGAAAUCAAAUCGGAACACUCCACCGGCAACAUCGGUUCAUCAAAUCCGUCUGUUGAUCUAAGUCGUCGCUAUCAUCAUCUUCGUGGUUUAGGGUUGCUCAAAUCAGUCGUUAUCAUCAAAUCUGUGGUUAAAUGAUGCUUCAAUCUGUUUAUAUUGCCUGUUCCUACUCCGAGUGGGAAUUGAUGCUAUUGAAGAUGAUGUUAUUGAAUCAUCUACGAUGUUCGAGUUUGUCGAUGAUAAGGUGUUGCGUUUGUUUUACGUCUUAUGUAACUUAUCACUGCAUACUGAAUAUUUUGUUAGGUGGAGACCAUUGUAAUCAAAGCUAUAGGAAAGCUUGAUGAUCUUGACGAAGAGCUUAACACUUACUCAACGGGGCUUCCUGAAUUGUACAAUUUGCAUUUUCCUGAGCUCGCUAAGAUCGUACAUGACAAAAUCCAAUAUGUCAAGGCUGUAAAGCUAAUGGGGAAUCGGAUUAACGCACCAAAGCUAGACUUCUCUGAGUUAUGGUACAGCAAUCCAGACUCUUCUUCAACUUAAAUACUCAGAGCCUCAGAUUCUCAAAAAGUUUUGCGGGUUGGAAGGAGCAUUAGAGAGAAUGAAGCUGCAGCUGGAGGAAUCAAUGGCGGAUGAAUACAAGAGAGACUAUGCUGCAGAUGUGGAGAGCCUUCGUGGUGAAGUGGAACUGAUCGUCUACCAAAAGCUAGGACUUUUAUGAACCAUGAUCAGUAAGAAAGCAACUCCCUGUGCUUUAAUUUCUGGUUGGAAAACCUUUAGCUUUAGCAGUUGUAGACAAAUCUAACUGUCUUAAAGAUAGAGUUGAAGAUGUGUAACUUAGGCGGAGCUUACUGAUCCAUUCAAUUUUGCAUGUUAUUGCCUUGACUUAAGAGGUUUUCUUCCCCUCGUCUAGUUUCAUAUAGUGUUUGCAAUGUUUUAUCUUUUAUGUAUAGAAUAAACUUCCACUAUUUGUUUGA